UAGCUGCGUUGUUCCAUCGCGUUGUCUUACCUUUAGCGCCAUCUCUUUUCCACAAUUAUCUAAAAUGGACAGUGGCGUAGUUUUGGUAAAUGAUAAGUGUGAGAAAGUAUUUAUCACCACAAUGGAGCGUGAUGUGAAUACCACCCCACGCAGUUAUGCAAUAAGUUAUGAUGGACAUAUCGCUAGAUACAACUGUUUGUCUUCUAGUCGCCUUCUUAAUAUUUCCAUUGAUACGGUUAAUAUGAUAUGUUAAAAUGAAAGUGAAGAAGUCUUAACUUAAGAUUGACCUAAUGAAACUAUUUUACACAUCAAGUAAAAUGAAAGCUUAGUGUUAAAAUAUUUUAGUGUGUACUAUCACAUUGAGCAAUGAACCUGUAACGGUAGUAUGUAUGUUGCAAUAAAUAAAUAGUAAAUAAUAUAAAAGCCAGUAUACUUUAACUUAUUGAAUAACAAAAUAAUUAGAAAUUGAUGGCACUUCUUGCAGGUUUCUUUAAUUCUUUGACACCACUAUUACGCUCCGAUUACUCGAUAUAUGUAAAUAAAUACAUGUAUAUCGA